rnacentral:misc_RNA from 1 species
AAAAUGAGUUGACAAAACAAAUAAAAACCAUUUUUUAAGGUUUUUCCUUGAUGUGAUAAUAUGUCUUCCUGUUUUAAGGCAUCAUCAUAACAAAAACAAACAUGUUUUGGUAAUGUAACUUUUAAAAAAAUAUACGAUGAUAAUAAAAAACCACCAGCAGAUACCAAAUGAUCCUUGGUUUAUACGCAAGCAUAGACACAUAUACAAGUUCUACUUACAGAAACCCUUUUAUAUUUCAAACUUGCAAUUUCUACAACAUUAUCGAGGUUUAACAUGAAGAAUUCGACAUUAGGGACACUUAAUAAAACCCGAUCUUCAAUCCUUAGCAUAGAUUCCCAUAAUCACCACAUGAUAGUUUACCAAGUCCAAACACAUAAUGAUUGGCUAUGUAUUCAUUACUUAAAUCUUCCAAUCAACAGGACAUCUUUUCCCAACAGCUAAGGGCUUGUGCUUUGUUUUAAAUAGGUUUAAUGCUGUGCAUUAUAGCAUUAUACAAUUAUAAACUUUGAAAGUUUUGCCUCUGGAUAUUACCAUGCUCAUAAUAGAAAAACUGGUGAAAUAAAAUACUUUCCAAUGAUACAAAUUUAAACCUAAUCGUGAAAUUUGCUGUGACCCGAAGAGUCCUGGAGACUAUCCACAUGAUUUUGUCAAACUUGGGGUUACCUCCACCAAAAUAGCUUUACCCAAUUUGGCUUGGCUGCCCCUUGCUUUAUAUUCUCUUUCAAUUCUUU